GGGUUGUGAGGUUAAGCGACUAAGCGUACACGGUGGAUGCCCUGGCAGUCAGAGGCGAUGAAGGACGUGCUAAUCUGCGAUAAGCGUCGGUAAGGUGAUAUGAACCGUUAUAACCGGCGAUUUCCGAAUGGGGAAACCCAGUGUGAUUCGUCACACUAUCAUUAACUGAAUCCAUAGGUUAAUGAGGCGAACCGGGGGAACUGAAACAUCUAAGUACCCCGAGGAAAAGAAAUCAACCGAGAUUCCCCCAGUAGCGGCGAGCGAACGGGGAGCAGCCCAGAGCCUGAAUCAGUGUGUGUGUUAGUGGAAGCGUCUGGAAAGGCGUGCGAUACAGGGUGACAGCCCCGUACACAAAAAUGCACAUACUGUGAGCUCGAUGAGUAGGGCGGGACACGUGGUAUCCUGUCUGAAUAUGGGGGACCAUCCUCCAAGGCUAAAUACUCCUGACUGACCGAUAGUGAACCAGUACCGUGAGGGAAAGGCGAAAAGAACCCCGGCGAGGGGAGUGAAAAAGAACCUGAAACCGUGUACGUACAAGCAGUGGGAGCACGCUUAGGCGUGUGACUGCGUACCUUUUGUAUAAUGGGUCAGCGACUUAUAUUCUGUAGCAAGGUUAACCGAAUAGGGGAGCCGAAGGGAAACCGAGUCUUAACUGGGCGUUAAGUUGCAGGGUAUAGACCCGAAACCCGGUGAUCUAGCCAUGGGCAGGUUGAAGGUUGGGUAACACUAACUGGAGGACCGAACCGACUAAUGUUGAAAAAUUAGCGGAUGACUUGUGGCUGGGGGUGAAAGGCCAAUCAAACCGGGAGAUAGCUGGUUCUCCCCGAAAGCUAUUUAGGUAGCGCCUCGUGAAUUCAUCUCCGGGGGUAGAGCACUGUUUCGGCAAGGGGGUCAUCCCGACUUACCAACCCGAUGCAAACUGCGAAUACCGGAGAAUGUUAUUACGGGAGACACACGGCGGGUGCUAACGUCCGUCGUGAAGAGGGAAACAACCCAGACCGCCAGCUAAGGUCCCAAAGUCAUGGUUAAGUGGGAAACGAUGUGGGAAGGCCCAGACAGCCAGGAUGUUGGCUUAGAAGCAGCCAUCAUUUAAAGAAAGCGUAAUAGCUCACUGGUCGAGUCGGCCUGCGCGGAAGAUGUAACGGGGCUAAACCAUGCACCGAAGCUGCGGCAGCGACGCUUAUGCGUUGUUGGGUAGGGGAGCGUUCUGUAAGCCUGUGAAGGUGUGCUGUGAGGUAUGCUGGAGGUAUCAGAAGUGCGAAUGCUGACAUAAGUAACGAUAAAGCGGGUGAAAAGCCCGCUCGCCGGAAGACCAAGGGUUCCUGUCCAACGUUAAUCGGGGCAGGGUGAGUCGACCCCUAAGGCGAGGCCGAAAGGCGUAGUCGAUGGGAAACAGGUUAAUAUUCCUGUACUUGGUGUUACUGCGAAGGGGGACGGAGAAGGCUAUGUUGGCCGGGCGACGGUUGUCCCGGUUUAAGCGUGUAGGCUGGUUUUCCAGGCAAAUCCGGAAAAUCAAGGCCGAGGCGUGAUGACGAGGCACUACGGUGCUGAAGCAACAAAUGCCCUGCUUCCAGGAAAAGCCUCUAAGCAUCAGGUAACAUCAAAUCGUACCCCAAACCGACACAGGUGGUCAGGUAGAGAAUACCAAGGCGCUUGAGAGAACUCGGGUGAAGGAACUAGGCAAAAUGGUGCCGUAACUUCGGGAGAAGGCACGCUGAUACGUAGGUGAAGCGACUUGCUCGUGGAGCUGAAAUCAGUCGAAGAUACCAGCUGGCUGCAACUGUUUAUUAAAAACACAGCACUGUGCAAACACGAAAGUGGACGUAUACGGUGUGACGCCUGCCCGGUGCCGGAAGGUUAAUUGAUGGGGUUAGCGCAAGCGAAGCUCUUGAUCGAAGCCCCGGUAAACGGCGGCCGUAACUAUAACGGUCCUAAGGUAGCGAAAUUCCUUGUCGGGUAAGUUCCGACCUGCACGAAUGGCGUAAUGAUGGCCAGGCUGUCUCCACCCGAGACUCAGUGAAAUUGAACUCGCUGUGAAGAUGCAGUGUACCCGCGGCAAGACGGAAAGACCCCGUGAACCUUUACUAUAGCUUGACACUGAACAUUGAGCCUUGAUGUGUAGGAUAGGUGGGAGGCUUUGAAGUGUGGACGCCAGUCUGCAUGGAGCCGACCUUGAAAUACCACCCUUUAAUGUUUGAUGUUCUAACGUGGACCCGUGAUCCGGGUUGCGGACAGUGUCUGGUGGGUAGUUUGACUGGGGCGGUCUCCUCCUAAAGAGUAACGGAGGAGCACGAAGGUUGGCUAAUCCUGGUCGGACAUCAGGAGGUUAGUGCAAUGGCAUAAGCCAGCUUGACUGCGAGCGUGACGGCGCGAGCAGGUGCGAAAGCAGGUCAUAGUGAUCCGGUGGUUCUGAAUGGAAGGGCCAUCGCUCAACGGAUAAAAGGUACUCCGGGGAUAACAGGCUGAUACCGCCCAAGAGUUCAUAUCGACGGCGGUGUUUGGCACCUCGAUGUCGGCUCAUCACAUCCUGGGGCUGAAGUAGGUCCCAAGGGUAUGGCUGUUCGCCAUUUAAAGUGGUACGCGAGCUGGGUUUAGAACGUCGUGAGACAGUUCGGUCCCUAUCUGCCGUGGGCGCUGGAGAACUGAGGGGGGCUGCUCCUAGUACGAGAGGACCGGAGUGGACGCAUCACUGGUGUUCGGGUUGUCAUGCCAAUGGCACUGCCCGGUAGCUAAAUGCGGAAGAGAUAAGUGCUGAAAGCAUCUAAGCACGAAACUUGCCCCGAGAUGAGUUCUCCCUGACCCUUUAAGGGUCCUGAAGGAACGUUGAAGACGACGACGUUGAUAGGCCGGGUGUGUAAGCGCAGCGAUGCGUUGAGCUAACCGGUACUAAUGAACCGUGAGGCUUAACCUUACAACGCCGAAG
rnacentral:rRNA from 1 species